GGGUUGUGAGGUUAAGCGACUAAGCGUACACGGUGGAUGCCCUGGCAGUCAGAGGCGAUGAAGGACGUGCUAAUCUGCGAUAAGCGUCGGUAAGGUGAUAUGAACCGUUAUAACCGGCGAUUUCCGAAUGGGGAAACCCAGUGUGUUUCGACACACUAUCAUUAACUGAAUCCAUAGGUUAAUGAGGCGAACCGGGGGAACUGAAACAUCUAAGUACCCCGAGGAAAAGAAAUCAACCGAGAUUCCCCCAGUAGCGGCGAGCGAACGGGGAGCAGCCCAGAGCCUGAAUCAGUGUGUGUGUUAGUGGAAGCGUCUGGAAAGGCGCGCGAUACAGGGUGACAGCCCCGUACACAAAAAUGCACAUGCUGUGAGCUCGAUGAGUAGGGCGGGACACGUGGUAUCCUGUCUGAAUAUGGGGGGACCAUCCUCCAAGGCUAAAUACUCCUGACUGACCGAUAGUGAACCAGUACCGUGAGGGAAAGGCGAAAAGAACCCCGGCGAGGGGAGUGAAAAAGAACCUGAAACCGUGUACGUACAAGCAGUGGGAGCACGCUUAGGCGUGUGACUGCGUACCUUUUGUAUAAUGGGUCAGCGACUUAUAUUCUGUAGCAAGGUUAACCGAAUAGGGGAGCCGAAGGGAAACCGAGUCUUAACUGGGCGUUAAGUUGCAGGGUAUAGACCCGAAACCCGGUGAUCUAGCCAUGGGCAGGUUGAAGGUUGGGUAACACUAACUGGAGGACCGAACCGACUAAUGUUGAAAAAUUAGCGGAUGACUUGUGGCUGGGGGUGAAAGGCCAAUCAAACCGGGAGAUAGCUGGUUCUCCCCGAAAGCUAUUUAGGUAGCGCCUCGUGAAUUCAUCUCCGGGGGUAGAGCACUGUUUCGGCAAGGGGGUCAUCCCGACUUACCAACCCGAUGCAAACUGCGAAUACCGGAGAAUGUUAUCACGGGAGACACACGGCGGGUGCUAACGUCCGUCGUGAAGAGGGAAACAACCCAGACCGCCAGCUAAGGUCCCAAAGUCAUGGUUAAGUGGGAAACGAUGUGGGAAGGCCCAGACAGCCAGGAUGUUGGCUUAGAAGCAGCCAUCAUUUAAAGAAAGCGUAAUAGCUCACUGGUCGAGUCGGCCUGCGCGGAAGAUGUAACGGGGCUAAACCAUGCACCGAAGCUGCGGCAGCGACGCUUAUGCGUUGUUGGGUAGGGGAGCGUUCUGUAAGCCUGCGAAGGUGUGCUGUGAGGCAUGCUGGAGGUAUCAGAAGUGCGAAUGCUGACAUAAGUAACGAUAAAGCGGGUGAAAAGCCCGCUCGCCGGAAGACCAAGGGUUCCUGUCCAACGUUAAUCGGGGCAGGGUGAGUCGACCCCUAAGGCGAGGCCGAAAGGCGUAGUCGAUGGGAAACAGGUUAAUAUUCCUGUACUUGGUGUUACUGCGAAGGGGGGACGGAGAAGGCUAUGUUGGCCGGGCGACGGUUGUCCCGGUUUAAGCGUGUAGGCUGGUUUUCCAGGCAAAUCCGGAAAAUCAAGGCUGAGGCGUGAUGACGAGGCACUACGGUGCUGAAGCAACAAAUGCCCUGCUUCCAGGAAAAGCCUCUAAGCAUCAGGUAACAUCAAAUCGUACCCCAAACCGACACAGGUGGUCAGGUAGAGAAUACCAAGGCGCUUGAGAGAACUCGGGUGAAGGAACUAGGCAAAAUGGUGCCGUAACUUCGGGAGAAGGCACGCUGAUAUGUAGGUGAAGUCCCUCGCGGAUGGAGCUGAAAUCAGUCGAAGAUACCAGCUGGCUGCAACUGUUUAUUAAAAACACAGCACUGUGCAAACACGAAAGUGGACGUAUACGGUGUGACGCCUGCCCGGUGCCGGAAGGUUAAUUGAUGGGGUCAGCCGCAAGGCGAAGCUCUUGAUCGAAGCCCCGGUAAACGGCGGCCGUAACUAUAACGGUCCUAAGGUAGCGAAAUUCCUUGUCGGGUAAGUUCCGACCUGCACGAAUGGCGUAAUGAUGGCCAGGCUGUCUCCACCCGAGACUCAGUGAAAUUGAACUCGCUGUGAAGAUGCAGUGUACCCGCGGCAAGACGGAAAGACCCCGUGAACCUUUACUAUAGCUUGACACUGAACAUUGAGCCUUGAUGUGUAGGAUAGGUGGGAGGCUUUGAAGUGUGGACGCCAGUCUGCAUGGAGCCGACCUUGAAAUACCACCCUUUAAUGUUUGAUGUUCUAACGUUGACCCGUGAUCCGGGUUGCGGACAGUGUCUGGUGGGUAGUUUGACUGGGGCGGUCUCCUCCUAAAGAGUAACGGAGGAGCACGAAGGUUGGCUAAUCCUGGUCGGACAUCAGGAGGUUAGUGCAAUGGCAUAAGCCAGCUUGACUGCGAGCGUGACGGCGCGAGCAGGUGCGAAAGCAGGUCAUAGUGAUCCGGUGGUUCUGAAUGGAAGGGCCAUCGCUCAACGGAUAAAAGGUACUCCGGGGAUAACAGGCUGAUACCGCCCAAGAGUUCAUAUCGACGGCGGUGUUUGGCACCUCGAUGUCGGCUCAUCACAUCCUGGGGCUGAAGUAGGUCCCAAGGGUAUGGCUGUUCGCCAUUUAAAGUGGUACGCGAGCUGGGUUUAGAACGUCGUGAGACAGUUCGGUCCCUAUCUGCCGUGGGCGCUGGAGAACUGAGGGGGGCUGCUCCUAGUACGAGAGGACCGGAGUGGACGCAUCACUGGUGUUCGGGUUGUCAUGCCAAUGGCACUGCCCGGUAGCUAAAUGCGGAAGAGAUAAGUGCUGAAAGCAUCUAAGCACGAAACUUGCCCCGAGAUGAGUUCUCCCUGAC
rnacentral:rRNA from 1 species